UUAUUUAUUUAUUUAUUUAUUUAUUUAUUUAUUUAUUGCACUGGCUACCUGUAAAGCUCAGGAUUGCUUUCAAAAUUCUCCUGCUUGCCUAUAAGGCCCUUCAUCACACAGGUCUGGAGUAUGGGCAGCAGUGUGGAGUAGUGGUGAGGGCUCUGGACUCUUGACCGGAGGGUUGUGGGUUCAAUCCCAGGUGGGGGGACACUGCUGCUGUACCCUUGAGCAACGUACUUUACCUAGAUUGCUCCAGUAAAAACCCAACUGUAUAAAUGGGGAAUUGUAUGUAAAAAUAAUGUGGAUCCCCAUUGAGGUGUCUCUGUUUUAAGUCGAGGGAACACGGAGCCCCUGUGCGGCUUGGAACUUGGUUUCAGGAGACGAGGUUUCAGGCCCCUGCGCGGCACACCAGGGGAGACUUGGGGGGUUUGAUACAGCAAACCUCAAACUAGGACUCCUGGAACCAGGUUUCAAACCGCUGCUCCUGAAAAAGUGGCUUCGUGUUCCCUCGGCUUAACACCUCCUGUGGUUGUCUUCCUGCAGAGGGAAUGAUGGGGAGCUUGAUGAAGCGGCGAGCAGUACGUCUGGAUCACAGGGACGCUUUAGUCCUAAACUACUGGCUAAGAGGCUGAUGGCGCUCGUGGACCCUCCCAGAAUCCUACAGGAACAGACCGAAGAAGACAGCGAAGAAGAGGGAGGAGCUCUAUCGCAUAACCCAGAACAGCAAAGCUUUGAGCACCAGAGGAAGAAACACUAUGACGAAGGCCAGCAUAUCACCAGAGAAGCGUCCGAGGAAGAGGAGCAGGAGG